rnacentral:tRNA from 1 species
GUAAAGUUAGUUUAAUAUUAAAAUAACAAGUUGUGGGUUUGUGGAUAAAUUAUUUUUACUUUACU